rnacentral:lncRNA from 1 species
CAGGGCAAAGAGUUCUAAUAUAUGUACUAAAGUCAUCCAUGUUAGUUUCUAUAAAAGCAAGUUUUACAAUUGAGAAACAUUGAUGUUCAUAUUCGAGGGAGAUCCUCCUUUGUUUGAUUCAUAAAGAGCAUAACAGCUUCGUGUAGUUUUAAAUCUCCUGCAAGAACAAAAGUUAUCGCGCUUCAGAUACAAAGCUUAUAAACAAAAGAAGGUCCGUCCAUAUAAGUGGAUGGAUGUAAUCUGACCUCGCUUGAUGCCAACAGCUGAUAAAGCAUCAUGAGCAGACUUCCACACCAGUAAUUCCAUCAAGUUCUUCCAUAGCUGCAACCAAACCACUGCAUGGAAAAUCUUUUGCUUCCGACCAUCAGUAACUGCCUCUAGCGUAA